rnacentral:rRNA from 1 species
UACGUAGGUGGCAAGCGUUGUCCGGAUUUACUGGGCGUAAAGAGCGCGCAGGCGGUCGGAUAAGUCGAAUGUGAAAGCCCCUGGCUCAACCAGGGAGGGUCAUUCGAUACUGUUCGACUCGAAGGCAGGAGAGGGAAGCGGAAUUCCCGGUGUAGUGGUGAAAUGCGUAGAGAUCGGGAGGAACAUCAGUGGCGAAGGCGGCCAUCUGGGACAACACUGACGCUGAAGCACGAAAGCGUGGGGAGCAAACAGG